AGGUAAGCUACUAAGAGCGAAUGGUGGAUGCCUUGACUGGUAAAGGCGAUGAAGGACGUACUAGACUGCGAUAAGCUACGGGGAGCUGUCAAGAAGCUUUGAUCCGUAGAUUUCCGAAUGGGGCAACCCAAUGUAUAGAGAUAUACAUUACCUAUAUAGGAGCGAACGAGGGGAAUUGAAACAUCUUAGUACCCUCAGGAAAAGAAAUCAAUAGAGAUUGCGUCAGUAGCGGCGAGCGAAAGCGCAAGAGGGCAAACCCAGUGCUUGCACUGGGGGUUGUAGGACUGCAAUGUGCAAGAGCUGAGUUUAGCAGAACAUUCUGGAAAGUAUAGCCAUAGAGGGUGAUAGUCCCGUAUGCGAAAAACAAAGCUUAGCUAGCAGUAUCCUGAGUAGGGCGGGACACGAGGAAUCCUGUCUGAAUCCGGGUCGACCACGAUCCAACCCUAAAUACUAAUACCAGAUCGAUAGUGCACAAGUACCGUGAGGGAAAGGUGAAAAGAACUGAGGUGAUCAGAGUGAAAUAGAACCUGAAACCAUUUGCUUACAAUCAUUCAGAGCACUAUGUAGCAAUACAGUGUGAUGGACUGCCUUUUGCAUAAUGAGCCUGCGAGUUGUGGUGUCUGGCAAGGUUAAGCAAACGCGAAGCCGUAGCGAAAGCGAGUCUGAAUAGGGCGCUUAGUCAGAUGCUGCAGACCCGAAACGAAGUGAUCUAUCCAUGAGCAAGUUGAAGCUAGUGUAAGAACUAGUGGAGGACUGAACCCAUAGGCGUUGAAAAGCCCCGGGAUGACUUGUGGAUAGGGGUGAAAGGCCAAUCAAACUUCGUGAUAGCUGGUUCUCUCCGAAAUAUAUUUAGGUAUAGCGUUGUGUCGUAAUAUAAGGGGGUAGAGCACUGAAUGGGCUAGGGCAUACACCAAUGUACCAAACCCUAUCAAACUCCGAAUACCUUAUAUGUAAUCACAGCAGUCAGGCGGCGAGUGAUAAAAUCCGUCGUCAAGAGGGAAACAACCCAGACUACCAGCUAAGGUCCCUAAAUCUUACUUAAGUGGAAAACGAUGUGAAGUUACUUAAACAACCAGGAGGUUGGCUUAGAAGCAGCCAUCCUUUAAAGAAAGCGUAAUAGCUCACUGGUCUAGUGAUUUUGCGCGGAAAAUAUAACGGGGCUAAAGUAAGUACCGAAGCUGUAGACUUGCACACAACUUAGAUUAUUUAAGUUUAGAAUA
rnacentral:rRNA from 1 species